GAUGAACGCUGGCGGCGUGCUUAACACAUGCAAGUCGAACGGAAAGGCCCUAGCUUGCUUGCGUGCUCGAGUGGCGAACGGGUGAGUAACACGUGGUUGAUCUGCCCUUCACUUUAGGAUAAGCCUGGGAAACUGGUUCUAAUACCGGCUAGGACCAUCGUUUAGUGUCGGGGAUGGCUUGUUUUUCGGUGUAGGGUGCGCUCGCCGCCUAUCAGCUUGUUGGUGGGGUGAUGGGCUACCAAGGCGUCGACGGGGAGCCGGGCUGGGAGGGGGUACGGCCAAAAUUGGGAUUGGAAACGGGCCAGGCUCCCACGGGAGGGAGGAGGGGGGGAAAUUGCAAAAAGGGCGCAAGGCGGAUGCAAGCGCGGCGGGGGGGGGGAGACCGGCUUUGGGUUGUAAACCCCUUUCGCCAAGGACGAAGCGGUUUGUGACGGUACUUGGAGAAGAAGCACCGGCUAACUACGUG
rnacentral:rRNA from 1 species